UUGAUCAGGAUGAAGCUAAGUAAAUUAUCCAACACUUGAUCUGAGAUACUUUGAUAUCGACUGAUGUCACUUGAUUUGCUUCUGAAUCUUC